rnacentral:rRNA from 1 species
UGGAAUUGGGCCUUCUGAGGGUUGGGUGCACGGAUCCUUGCUUAAAUGUCAGCGCUGAGCAUCAGCUGCUCACCAUUCAUAUGAACAGUGGCUGUGUUGCAUAGCAAAGACUGCUAAGUUUGGAAUGCUUGAUAUGAGCUUCUUUUCACAUUGAACAACUGAUUCAGAACUGAAGCGCAAAAGGGGAAUCCGACUGUUUAAUUAAAACAAAGCAUUGUGAUGGCAUUUUGAAUGUGUUGAUGCAAUGUGAUUUCUGCCCAGUGCUCUGAAUGUCAAGGUGAUGAAAUUCAAACAAGCGCGGGUAAACGGCGGGAGUAACUAUGACUCUCUUAAGGUAGCCAAAUGCCUCGUCAUCUAAUUAGUGACGCGCAUGAAUGGAUUAACGAGAUUCCUAUUGUCCUUACUUUCAAUUUAGCGAAACCACAGCCAAGGGAACGGGCUUGGGUUAGUCAGCGGGGAAAGAAGACCCUGUUGAGCUUGACUCUAGUCUGACAUUGUGAAAUGACUCAGGAGGUGUAGAAUAAGUGGGAGUAUUCUUGCAAUCAUGAAAUACCACUACUCUUGAUGUUAUUUUACUUAUUCUGUGAAACUCG